UACGGAGGGGGCUAGCGUUAUUCGGAAUUAUUGGGCGUAAAGGGCGUGUAGGCGGCUCCGCAUGUCCCAUUGUGAAAGCCCUCGGCUCAACCGAGGAAUUGCAUGGGAAACUGCAGAGCUUGAGUCCGGGAGAGGAGAGCGGAAUUCCCAGUGUAGCGGUGAAAUGCGUAGAUAUUGGGAGGAACACCGGUGGCGAAGGCGGCUCUCUGGACCGGUACUGACGCUGAGACGCGAAAGCCAGGGGAGCAAACGGG
rnacentral:rRNA from 1 species